rfam:Cucumis melo, WGS project CAJI01000000 data, contig: 18301
GCUCCUUCGGGGACAUCCAAUAAAAUUGGAAUGAUAUAGAGAAGAUAGCAUGACCCUUGUGCAAGGAUGACACACACAAAUCAAGAAGGGCUGUCGAUGAUC